CCUACGGGUGGCAGCAGUGGGGAAUAUUGGACAAUGGGCGCAAGCCUGAUCCAGCCAUGCCGCGUGAGUGAUGAAGGUCUUAGGAUUGUAAAGCUCUUUCAGUGGGGACGAUAAUGACGGUACCCACAGAAGAAGCCCCGGCUAACUUCGUGCCAGCAGCCGCGGUAAUACGAAGGGGGCUAGCGUUGUUCGGAAUUACUGGGCGUAAAGCGCACGUAGGCGGAUAUUUAAGUCGGGGGUGAAAUCCCGGGGCUCAACCCCGGAACUGCCUUCGAUACUGGGUAUCUUGAGUUCGGAAGAGGUGAGUGGAAUUGCGAGUGUAGAGGUGAAAUUCGUAGAUAUUCGCAGGAACACCAGUGGCGAAGGCGGCUCACUGGUCCGAUACUGACGCUGAGGUGCGAAAGCGUGGGGAGCAAACAGGAUUAGAUACCC
rnacentral:rRNA from 1 species